CUCGGACAUCUGACUUCCGAGGUUACUCUGCUGCCAUCCUGGAGCAGAGUGCAACACAGUCUGUUCCAUAUCCUGUGGAAUUUCACCGUAUGGCAUCCCUUUUGGCAACUUGGAACUUUUCAUCAAACUCAAUUUGGAUAUUCGUUCCCCAAACCAACCCGGUUUGUCAAAAAACCGCCAAACGCAGAUUAAAUUUUGGUCCUGCCCUUGAAUCAAACUCCCCCUGUUCACGCUACAGUUUGCGUUAUAUAACUUCCCUUGUAUGGAAUUUACAUUACCUAGAGAUGCAAUCAUGGAAAUUUUCUGUCACUUCGGAGUCCAAAUUAUACCAGCCAUGUGAUGUAACCUACACUGUAAAGGAAAAUGCGUCUUCACAGCCAAGACAGAGUUCAACCUGUCAGCACUGGGCUGUAAUUUGACUUUGGCUCGAACCGGCUUCCUCCAGACGUUCGCAGAUCUGUUUUUUUUUCCCCGAUAGGAGAAUGGAGGUCUGUGUUGUAACCUAUGGAGUGAAGUUUUGGAUCAGUGUGGAGGUGAAAAGUUUGAACGCUCCUGAUUAUAUUGAGCUCAAGGCUCCGUCGGCUUCAUUACAUCCCGUAAUGACACUUUAAAAUCUCCUCCUGGUGUUAUUUUCCAUCCAGACUCAUAAAUGUCCAAAUCAGCUGUUUUCACCUGGAUCACUGAGUUCCUCUGAAGUCUGUCUGGCUUUAACUGAACACACCUUUACAGCCCCACAGCAAAAAAAAAAAGAAACUUUUCCAACGAUUUUUAUGCAAAUCAGCCCCCUCAGUGCUCAGCUAGUGCUUUGAAUAGAGUAUCAUCUGACCCGCUCAGCUCUUGAGUUUGGAUAAACCAUUGUUUGUUUCUGGGGUUCCUGUGGGGGGGAGAGUUUGCCAGUUGUGCCAAACAUUUGCAUAAGUCUGUAAAACAUGUCGAAACAUGGGAAAUAUCCCAAACAUCUGAUUGGAUCUACUUAAGGAGGAGAAAAGGAACUUUUCAGAGCUCAGGUUUACAUCUGAAGACCCAAGGAGCCAAUGAAUAAUGACACAUUAUCAAUAUUACAUGUUAUUUUAAGAGAGGAGUAUCCCCAAACGACUCAAACCCAAACAAAACUGGAUUAGACCAAGUGUUCGGCGUGUCAUCCCUUCCUUUAGAGACUUAAAUACACGGAAAACAUGGAGAUUGAAUCAACUCUGGCGGAAAACUUUUAAUAUCUAGUUUGAAAUCCAUCAAAUUUUUGAAAAUUUUGUCUCAUUUUUUUGUCCUUGUUUCUGUUCUUUGUCCUAAUUUAUAGUCCAGCUCUGGCUGUUGGACAAACUUAAAUUGAUUUGUUGGCUUUUUCUUCCAAAACCUGUUGGUGUAUCAGGAUUUUUCCAAAUGACUUUCUUCAGUACUAGCUAAAGGGGAUUACACAAAAAAUGAAAGUUUUCUUUUUUUCCCACCCACUACCCAAACAAAGGUCCAGUGAAAUGGCACCAAAACCAGCUUUUGUCUUUUGAAAUACUGGGAACUUCCCAAAACUCUCUCUGUUGUAUCAACUUUGGAAAGAAUAGAAAGUUUUCUCUAAACUGAGACCAACUUUUUGAGGGUUUAACUAUUGGGAAAUCCAUUUCUUACUUUCUUGUUUGAACUUUUUAUGAUUUACAUUGGACUUAGAGUCCAGUCUGGGUAGAUGGACAAAAUAUUUUAUGUUGGUCUGAGUCUGAAAGGGGUUCACUGUCUUUAAGUCCAACCUCUGGGUAAAAGUCUUUAUAUCGGCUCACUUUGACUCUUUUCUAGUUAAUGUUUAUUCACUAAAAAGGAACUUUAAAUUACAUCAAUUUAAGUACUUUGCAGUGAUUUAUCUUGAUCAUAUUUUUCGGGUUUUUUUGCUUUUUGGGCCUGAGACUCAAACCAAAGUCCAGCUUUGGCUUGCACCAACAAAAAGAUUCAAUUUUAACCCAGAGGAAAAAUUUCAGCAAAAAUAUACAAUGGAUGUGACGAUCCUGACUUCCCCUCAAGUGUAUCCACUCUUGGGGAAAAAAAGAAGUCUAAACUUUGAUCAUUUCUUUUUUUAUUAUUUCAAAUUUAAGAAAACAUGAAUUUUCAGAAACCACUUUCGAGUAGCGUCAGUUUUGGUAAAUCCGUCAUUUUUAGCGGUUUGAUCAGGUUUUAUGUCCCUCAUCGGACUCUGGCAGUUUGACCAACAUGCUAUUAUUAUUAUUAUUUGUCUGCUUUGAUGGAAAUCACAAACGGUUUGUUUGAUUUGCAUAAACUGCCUCCUCCUCUCCCCGUCCUCCCUCCUCCUCCUCCUCUGGGGAACAAAGCAGCGGGGGCCUCCGUCUAUACGUCCUCCUCCUCAUCAACAUGUGAAGUGUCUGCGGUCAAUGGCGGAGGGGAUUUACUCGCACAAUAAAGACAGAUGCCACCUUUUAUCUGCUUAACGGAAGAGAGGCCGAGCGCGUGGCACUUGACCGCAGCCAACGCAUGCUGUUGGCGCGUAAUGACGUCCUCCUUCCACGGACUAUUGAGAUGAAUGGGGAACUGGGCGCUGAAUGGACUCGAGCGAGGCGUGGGGGAGGGAGAGAGUAUUUUGGGAUGAAUUGGCGGUUUCUAAUCGACACUUUUGGGUGUUUUUCCUUUUUACCCAAACAGCUUUUGUUUGUCGCCUGUGAAUAAAACCCACCGAAUCAAAGCGAGGCUGCUUUUCCCAGUAGACUCAUCGAUCACCUCUACUCGAUAUUUUGCAGAAAGUUGGUUAAAAGUACGUUUUUGAGGUCGACUGUUUUACAGUUUGAGCUUCUCCAAGUAAAAACUCUGGGCAUUUUCAGGUAGUACUUAGGAGGUAGUAGGCAGAGGUGGGGGGUUGACGACUCGACUCGAGACUCGACUUGGACUUGAGUCCCGUUUUUGACUUGCUUGAUGAAAUCGAGAAAUGACUUGGACUUGCUUGGGACUUGAUUGCUAAAGACUUGAGACUUGACUUGAGCCCAGUGACUUGAAAAGUCUUUUCAAGUCUUUUCAAGUCACUUAAUACCUUACAGCCCAAACUGUUUAAAAAGUGUUGCAUCAACUAAUAGUCAGGAAUUACGGCCGUUGGUAACACCGUGUUGUGUUGCCAAGUCUGCUUAUUCCCGCAAAAAAAAUUUGCUUGUUUUUGUCUUGUUUCUGGAGGUCUGUUUCGUUAUUUCUCUCAUGAAACUUGGCAACACUGUCUCAAACUCUAGCCUCCCUCAUAACGACAACACCGGGAGGACUGAACAUAAAUCCCUCGCUAGUAUUGCCCAACUGUUUCCACGUGUUGCACUUGUUUUUGACUCGAAAGAAACGGUAAGGACUUGGUUGGGACUUGAAGCAAAAUUCCUAGGACUUGGUUGGGACUCGAAGCAAAAAGUUCAGGACUUGGACUUGACUUGGGACUUGUCUGUGUUGACUUGGACUUUACUCGAGGCUUGAGAGAAAAGGACUUGGACUUGACUUGGGACCUGUCUGUCUUGACUUGGACUUUACUCGAGACUUGAGAGCAAAGGACUUGGACUUGACUUGGGACUUGUCUGUGUUGUGUUGACUUGGACUUGACUCGAGACUUGAGAGCAAAGGACUUGGACUUCCCUCGGACUUGAGAGCAAAGACUUGAGACUCGACUUGGACUUGCAACAUAAGGACUUUCCCCCACCUCUGGUUGUAGGUAAAAAGACGUCUCGUCUUCGCCACAGCAGACUCCGGUUUGGCCUUUGUGUUCCUGUUUUUCCCUGUUCGCAUUACAAACCGAUGGAGGAAGGCUCCUCUCUUUCAGCACCAUCUCUCUGAGUCUGUAAUUACCUGAUCUGCAUAAAUUAAGUUAAAAAUGUUGUUUUUUCUUGCCGUCGCUCCAGAACACGGUGGUCCUAUUUCGCAGUAGACUGAAAACAUAACAGAUGACUCAGCUAACGCACCGAAUAUCGAGUGUUUUUCAUUACUUUUUAUUGUGCUUUUGUUCUCUGUUCUUGUUUAUAUCAGGUUUUCUCAUAUAAAAACAAACUCAAUUCUGCUGAUUUUUUUGUCUUAUUUUUUGAAACAGUUAUUCAUUAGUGUUUUAUGAUGGGAAUAAAUCCUGGCAGAACCUGAAUGUGUGAGCGAUUAACAUGGGAAAAAAAAUCAAAAUACUACAAACGAGGAACAUUUUAAUGACGGUGAUAAAAUGUUUUUACAUAUCAGUGAUGUUGUGAAAACAAAAGUCAGUGAUUUUAUUGGUUUAGGGUUUUGUUUUUAUCAUCAGCUCUGACUAAGAUGUCACUUUUUAACAUUUGUGGGAAAAAGUGGAACACAAACUGAUCAAACAUGAUUUCCUCUGUUGCAACCGCCGACAUCCUGCUCCGAUAAAUCAGUCCAAACAUAUUCAUCAGUGUCUCUAAUCACAUGAGGACAUCUCAACAAGAAGAGCAUGUAGUUAUGCAAAUCAUUCACAGACCGCCUCUCUCUAUCUCUCUCUCUGGGCGAGUGACACAGACAAAGACAGAGCGCCCUGAAAUGGUCCAUUUGAUUCCUGAUAGUGUUUGCUUCAGAAUGAGCAACAUCUGCCCUGCAGAGCGGCGACUCGCAAAGCCCGGAGGCUGGAUUCACAGCGGACUCUGAUCUGGAGGGAGAUUUUAACGAGCAGAGAUGAAACGAGUUACAUGAAAAUCAAAGUUUACAUAAAGUUUUUUAUUGAAAACUUUUAAAAUAUCUCAAGAAAAUAGCAAUCGUUCUCUUUUCUGGUUUCAAAAAGUGAAAAAAAAGUUCUUAAAAUCCAUGUUGCACAUGCUACGGAAGAGGAUUAGGGCCACUGGAAAAAAAAGUCAGAUACAAUUUUUUAGAAAUUGAUUAUUCUGAGAUUAAAGUCAGGAUAAAAUCUCAGAAUCCAGUCUUUUCCCCUCAGAAUAAUGACCAUAAAAAUUACAUUUUUUUUAUUAUUUUAUUAUUUUUUCCAGUGGUCCUAAUCGUCUUCCAUAAAAUGCAGCUAAUAUACGUGAAGCUAAAUAUUAUUUUUCAAACUAUAAUAUGUUUUUAAUUAUGUCAGUUAAAAAAAUAAGAUUUGGCUUUAGUAUAAUUCUGGCAAAGGAUGUUUUUAAAUUUUUGGGAAAAAAAAGCAAAAAUGGAAUAACUCCAACUUGGAGUUCCAACUUAGGUUCCAACUUAAAUGGCUAUUUUUGCAGGGAAUCAUGCUAGAUUCGAGUUAUCUCGGAAGUCAGAUGUCCAAGCUGAAAAUGACGU